GCAUAAUCACUUGUUCCUUAAUUAGGGACUAGUAUGAACGGCUAAACGAGGAUUCAACUGUCUCUUAUUUAUAAUCAGUGAAAUUGACCUUCCAGUGAAGAGGCUGGAAUAACAUAAUAAGACGAGAAGACCCUAUGGAGCUUUAAUUCAUUAGCAUAAUUACUAAAAUUAAACCCUAAUGGUACAAAAACAAUAAUAUAAGCUAAGAAUUUCGGUUGGGGUGACCUCGGAGAAUAAAAAAUCCUCCGAAUGAUUAUAGCAUAGACUAACAAGUCAAAACAACCCAUUAAAUCUCAUUGACCCAAAAUAUUUUGAUCAACGGACCAAGUUACCCUAGGGAUAACAGCGCAAUCCUAUUCAAGAGUUCAUAUCGACAAUAAGGGUUUACGACCUCGAUGUUGGAUCAGGACAUCCCAA
rnacentral:rRNA from 1 species